GUCCAAAGAAAGAGAUGAUCAUCCAGAGAGAAAGUCUAGUUUUGACUUCAAAUUAGAAUGAGGGAUUCUGAAAGAAGUCAAAUACAGACAUCAAACUUCUUCAGAUAGCUCCAUCAUCAUAAUCAUUACAGAUGUUUCAAAAUCUAAAGUAAAUCUCAAGAGGGUAGAGUAGCAAAUGGCCGCAAAAACAGUACACAGUCAGUUGAGAUUACAUGCUUAGCCAACCUGUCAAGAAAAACCAUAGGCAGACAAAUUCCCAACAACAGAUUCAGGUCCCUUAAAGGCUUAAGAAGAUACACCAGGACCUCUUCAUUGGUACAAAGAUCUAUAAGUUGACUGGCAUCCCAAUUAGUUCUCAAUUUUUGUUGCCUCUUUUGAUUAAUGAC
rnacentral:lncRNA from 1 species